rnacentral:lncRNA from 1 species
CGUAAAUCCCCUCUCUCUCACCCCCACCUCAUCAACCGUUAAGGUCAUCUGUUUCCUCUAACGUAGAGCAACUUGCACACCGCCAAGAGUUUCUCCUUUCCUGCACCAAGUUCCAUAGCACGACUUCAUGUUUGGUAACGCUCUUUCCUGCUUUCUUUCCUCUUUUUCCUAUGUGAUCUUGGAAGGGAAAGCCCAUUUUCUGCACAAUAAAAAGGCGCGUGACUCUAGGUUUACAUGUGAUUUGGUUAUGAUUCGUUAGCUCAGCUUUGGGUUUUGGUUGUUUCCUAAGUAUCCUAGUUGGUUUGCGAGGAAGAUGGGAAACUUCGUCCGUUAUGUCUCAAACCUUCCCACGUGAAGCCAAAAUCAUAGGCUUGGACUUUUAGUGCUCCCAAGUAGCCCAAAGUCUUCCACAACCCU